UUCUAUCUAUUAAAAAUCCGAAAUAAAAACGCACCUCGAGGAAUAUUUUACAAAUAAAUCUUAAUAAUUUUGGAAAAAGGGAAUAAUGAGGUUUUCUGAGAGAUGGAAGAAGGUGAUAGAGCAGAACGAUUCAUAUACAACGCAAUAAAUUAAACCUUAAACAAUAAAUAUCGUGUAUUCACUUCGUA